rnacentral:rRNA from 1 species
CAGUAGCCGCGGUAAAACGAGGGGGGCGAGCGUUGUUCGGAAUUAUUGGGCGUAAAGGGUGCGUAGGCGGUUCGGUAAGUCUUAUGUGAAAUCUUCGGGCUCAACUCGAAGUCUGCAUGAGAAACUGCCGGGCUUGAGUGUGGGAGAGGUGAGUGGAAUCUCCGGUGUAGCGGUGAAGUGCGUAGAUAUCGGAAGGAACACCUGUGGCGAAAGCGGCUCACUGGACCACAACUGACGCUGAUGCACGAAAGCUAGGGGAGCAAACAGGAUUAGAUACCCGAGUAGUCCCUGUCUCUUAUAC